GAGUUUGAUCAUGGCUCAGGAUGAACGCUAGCGGCAGGCUUAAUACAUGCAAGUCGAGGGGCAGCAGCUUUAUAGCAAUAUAGAGGCUGGCGACCGGCAAACGGGUGCGGAACACGUACACAACCUUCCUUGAAUAGGGGGAUAGCCCAUAGAAAUGUGGAUUAAUACCCCGUAAUAUAGCGGUGUGGCAUCACACUGUUAUUAUAGUUUCGGCGAUUCGAGAUGGGUGUGCGGCUGAUUAGGUAGUUGGCGGGGUAAAGGCCCACCAAGCCUUCGAUCAGUAGCUGAUGUGAGAGCAUGAUCAGCCACACGGGCACUGAGACACGGGCCCGACUCCUACGGGAGGCAGCAGUAAGGAAUAUUGGUCAAUGGACGCAAGUCUGAACCAGCCAUGCCGCGUGAAGGAUGAAGGUCCUCUGGAUUGUAAACUUCUUUUAUAGGGGGCGAAAAAAGGUCUUUCUAGAUCACUUGACAGUACCCUAUGAAUAAGCACCGGCUAACUCCGUGCCAGCAGCCGCGGUAAUACGGAGGGUGCAAGCGUUAUCCGGAUUCACUGGGUUUAAAGGGUGCGUAGGCGGGUAGGUAAGUCAGAGGUGAAAUCCUGGAGCUUAACUCCAGAACUGCCUUUGAUACUAUCUAUCUUUGAAUAUGGUGGAGGUAGCGGAAUAUGUCAUGUARCGGUGAAAUGMAUAGAUAUGACAUAGAACACCUAWUGCGAAGGCAGCUUACUACGCCUAUAUGACGCUGAGGCMCGAAAGCGUGGGGAUCAAACRGGAUUAGAUAMCCUGGUAGYCACSYCCUAAACGAUGAUUACUCGACGUAUGCGUAAMCMGUAWGSGUCCUGAGCGAAARCAUUAAGUAAYCMMCYUGGGAAGUACGACCSSCAKGGUUGAAAACUCAAAGRAAUKGGCGGGGGUCCKCCMWGYCGUGG
rnacentral:rRNA from 1 species